UAUAUUUUGCGAUAAAUCAUAAAUCCACUACUUGUAUUCUUUCCUUACUUUAGACUUUCACGAAAUAGAUAGCGUUGAAUACAAAUGAACAUAUAAAAUGAUUUUACUGAUAUUUGUUGACCAUGUAAACUGUGCACAUAAAAAUAUUGUCAUUCAAAUGUAUUUUGAAACUGUGCACUCUUGUGUUCCAAUACGACCAAUAUAUAAAACCGCAGAAUUUAGCGUCAAUGAAGGAGAUUUUAGCAUUAUUCAAAUGUUAUUUGCAUUUUAACAUUUAAACAGGUUUUUGUAAACCUACAUAGGGGUCCUUUUACAGAAACUCGUCGCUUUUGCAAAGAACAUAGAAGCAUUUCAUGGUUUCUGUGGAUACAUCAUAAAACGAGGAAAUUUUAAACAUCACUUGUACUUUUACUACAAACCUACAAGGUUCGAGCUGGUUCGAGCACAACGCAGAUGUAACGUCCAUUAAAUGAAUGUAGGCAAGAAAACAAUGAAACAAUAACUGAAAACUAUUUAUUAAAAUUUCCUCAGAACUAGAACAAUUUUAAGACAACUGCCGUGAGUGGGUUGAGUUGCUUCAAUCUUCUUUAGUCUUGCUUUCAUUUCGAUGAUAAAGAAAAACGAAGGAAAAGAAAAACAGACCAAUCAUCAUAGAGAAGGCGCUGGAAUAAUAAGGAUAAGCUGAGAAUAUGAAACGUUCGUAUUCUGUAUGUUGGAGUGGACGCACGGAAACCUAAAUAAGUAAAUAAUUACUUUAAUAUAAAUAAUGAAUGAAUAUUGGUAUUAUUUGCUGAUAGUUGUGCAAUAAAAAAUUAUUGAAAUGAUA